rnacentral:lncRNA from 1 species
ACUUUGCGAGGGGCCUCCGUGUGCCAAAAAUAGGCCACGGGCAAAGCCGCGCCCAAAAAUAACCGCCCGAAGGCCGGAGCGCCAAGUUCGUCCAGCGGAAAAAGGCCACAAAAACGCGUGGGCUAUAGCCUUGCAGGGUGGGGCUGGCCAACUUCGUCCGCCGGACUCGGAAUGCCGCGAGACUUUGCGAGGGGCCUCCGUGUGCCAAAAAUAGGCCGCGGGCAACGCCGUGCACAAAAAUAACCGUGCGAAGGCCGGGGCGCCAAGUUCGUCCAGCGGAAAAAGGCCACAAAAACGCGUGGGCUAUAGCCUUGGGGCGUGGGGCUGGCCAACUUCGUCCGCCGGACUCGGAAUGCCACGAGACUUUGCGAGGGGCCUCGGUGUGCCAAAAAUAGGCUGCGGGGAAAGCCGCGCCCAAAAAUAACCGCCCGAAGGCCGGAGCGGCAAGUUCGUCCAGCGGAAAAAGGCCCCAAAAGCGGGUGGGCUAUAGCCUUGGGGGUGGGGCUGUCCAACUUCAUCCGCCGGACUCGGAAUGCCGCGAGACUUUGCGAGGGGCCUCCGUAUGCCAAAAAUAGGCCGCGGACAAAGCCGCGUCCAAAAAUAACCGCCCGAAGGCCGGGUCGCCAAGUUCGUCCGGCGGAAAAAGGCCACAAAAACGGGUGGGCUAUAGCCUUGGGGGGUGGGGCUGGCCCACUUCGUCCGCCGGACUCGGAAUUCCGCGAGAGUUUGCGAGGGGCCUCCGUGUGCCAAAAAUAGGCCGCAGGCAAAGCCGCACCCAAAAAUAACCGCCGAAGGCCGGGGCGCCAAGUUCGUCGAGCGGAAAAAGGCCACAAAAACGGGUGGGCUAUAGCCUUGGGGUGUGGGGCGGGCCCACUUCGUCCGCCCGACUCGGAAUGCGCGAGACUUUGCGAGGGGCCUCCAUGUGCCAAAAAUAGGCCGCGGGCAAAGCCGCACCCAAUAAUAACCGCCCGAAGGCCGGGGCGCCUUGUUCGUCCAGCGGAAAAAGGCCACAAAAACGGGUGGGCUAUAGCCUUGGGGGGUGGGGCUGGCCCACUUCGUCCGCCGGCCUCGGAAUGACGCAAUACUUUGCGAGGGGCCUCCAUGUGGCAAAAAUAGGCCGCGGGCAAAGCCGCACCCAAUAAUAACCGCCCGAAGGCCGGGGCGCCUUGUUCGUCCAGCGGAAAAAGGCCACAAAAACGGGUGGGCUAUAGCCUUGGGGGGUGGGGCGGGCCCACUUCGUCCGCCGGACUCGGAAUGCCGCGAGACUUUGCGAGGGGCCUCCGUGUGCCAAAAAUAGGCCGCGGGCAAAGCCGCGCCCAAAAAUAACCACCCGAAGGCCAGGGCGCCAAGUUCGUCCAGCGGAAAAAGGCCACAAAAACGGGUGGGCUAUAGCCUUGGGGGGUGGGGCUGGCCCACUUCGUCCGCCGGACUCGGAAUGCCGCGAGACUUUGCGAGGGGCCUCCGUGUGCCAAAAAUAGGCCGCGGGCAAAGCCGUACCCAAAAAUAACCGCCCGAAGGCCGGGGCGCCAAGUUCGUCCAGCGGAAAAAGGACGCAAAAACGGGUGGGCUAUAGCCUUGGGGGUUCGGGCUGGCCACCUUCGUCCGCCGGACUCGGAAUGCCGCGAGAAUUUUCGAGUGGCCUCCGUGUGCCAAAAAUAGGCCGCGGGCAAAGCCGUGCACAAAAAUAACCGUGCGAAGGCCGGGGCGCCAAGUUCGUCCAGCGGAAAAAGUCCACAAAAACGCGUGGGCUAUAGCCUUGGGGGGUGGGGCUGGCCAACUUCGUCCGCCGGACUCGGAAUGCCGCGAGACUUUGCGAGGGGCCUCCGUGUGCCAAAAAUAGGCCACGGGCAAAGCCGCGCCCAAAAAUAACCGCCCGAAGGCCGGAGCGCCAAGUUCGUCCAGCGGAAAAAGGCCACAAAAACGCGUGGGCUAUAGCCUUGCAGGGUGGGGCUGGCCAACUUCGUCCGCCGGACUCGGAAUGCCGCGAGACUUUGCGAGGGGCCUCCGUGUGCCAAAAAUAGGCCGCGGGCAACGCCGUGCACAAAAAUAACCGUGCGAAGGCCGGGGCGCCAAGUUCGUCCAGCGGAAAAAGGCCACAAAAACGCGUGGGCUAUAGCCUUGGGGCGUGGGGCUGGCCAACUUCGUCCGCCGGACUCGGAAUGCCACGAGACUUUGCGAGGGGCCUCCGUGUGCCAAAAAUAGGCUGCGGGGAAAGCCGCGCCCAAAAAUAACCGCCCGAAGGCCGGAGCGCCAAGUUCGUCCAGCGGAAAAAGGCCCCAAAAACGGGUGGGCUAUAGCCUUGGGGGUGGGGCUGGCCAACUUCAUCCGCCGGACUCGGAAUGCCGCGAGACUUUGCGAGGGGCCUCCGUAUGCCAAAAAUAGGCCGCGGACAAAGCCGCGUCCAAAAAUAACAGCCCGAAGGCCGGGUCGCCAAGUUCGUCCGGCGGAAAAAGGCCACAAAAACGGGUGGGCUAUAGCCUUGGGGGGUGGGGCUGGCCCACUUCGUCCGCCGGACUCGGAAUUCCGCGAGACUUUGCGAGGGGCCUCCGUGUGCCAAAUAUAGGCCGCGGUCAAAGCCGCGUCCA